rnacentral:rRNA from 1 species
AUUGAACGCUGGCGGCAGGCCUAACACAUGCAAGUCGAGCGGAUGAAGGGAGCUUGCUCCUGGAUUCAGCGGCGGACGGGUGAGUAAUGCCUAGGAAUCUGCCGGGGAGUGGGGGAUAACGUCCGGAAACGGGCGCUAAUACCGCAUACGUCCUGAGGGAGAAAGUGGGGGAUCUUCGGACCUCACGCUAUCAGAUGAGCCUAGGUCGGAUUAGCUAGUUGGUGGGGUAAAGGCCUACCAAGGCGACGAUCCGUAACUGGUCUGAGAGGAUGAUCAGUCACACUGGAACUGAGACACGGUCCAGACUCCUACGGGAGGCAGCAGUGGGGAAUAUUGGACAAUGGGCGAAAGCCUGAUCCAGCCAUGCCGCGUGUGUGAAGAAGGUCUUCGGAUUGUAAAGCACUUUAAGUUGGGAGGAAGGGCAGUAAGUUAAUACCUUGCUGUUUUGACGUUACCAACAGAAUAAGCACCGGCUAACUUCGUG